UGGGCAGGGCUGCCUCCAGCCAGAAUGCUCCUCGCUCCCCUUGAUCAGGACAGAUUUCAAGCACACAGAGACCAGGAGCUGCAACAUGUCACAGAGUCCCAGCCAGCCAGAAGUCCCUGCAAAAGGACAAGGCACUCCAGAUGCUCCCCCAGAGGAGCCCCCCUGUGCUGAACUGAAAGCCAACUUUGAAAAAUGUGUUAAAGAAAAGGGAGAAGAGGCAUGCAAGGAGCUGCUGGAGACAUAUCAUUCCUGCCUGCGGGCACUGGGCAUAGCUCACCCGGAUCUAAAAAAUGGUCCCUAGCCUCCAAAUCACUGGGACUCCCAGACAGCCAUGUUUCCUUUCCCAUAGGGACUCCAGAAUGCUCAACCAACAGAAAGCUCAGCACUGAUUCACCAUUCUCAGCAGGCACUACAGAAGGAGUUCCCAACUUCAAUAAAGCCCCUGUAUUUUAUUCUGACUGAACAUGUUAAAUUACUGAGUUGGAAAUCUUCUGAUUUUGGCAUAAUGUUCUCAGAUUUUUGGAACCCUCACCUUUGCCAUAUUUGCUUUGUGCAGUAGCACUCAAGGAAAAAUAAAUCCGCAGAAGAGCUUUACAUUAAACAGCCUGCUGGAGCCAUCCCAUGAUCGGGCAUCCUUCAGAAUCACCACUUCCACCAUCCCUGGGACAUCCUGGACACUGCGUUUCCAAACAAUUCAGAUCUCAGAUGACAUUCCACCUUGGAUCCUGGGAAUCAGAAGCAUCCCUCCUCCAAAAAUAGUAAUUAAAAAUAAAGACAAGGAAAAAGAAAAUCAGCCUCCUUGGAUCAUUUGCAGAAAGUCAAUAGAUAUAUCAGG